AGAGUUUGAUCAUGGCUCAGGACGAACGCUGGCGGCGUGCUAAUACAUGCAAGUCGAGCGAACCAACGAGGAGCUUGCUCCUCAGAGGUUAGCGGCGGACGGGUGAGUAACACGUGGGCAACCUGCCUGUAAGACUGGGAUAACUCCGGGAAACCGGGGCUAAUACCGGAUAACAUUUUCCUCUGCAUAGAGGGAAAUUAAAAGAUGGCUUCGGCUAUCACUUACAGAUGGGCCCGCGGCGCAUUAGCUAGUUGGUGAGGUAAGGGCUCACCAAGGCGACGAUGCGUAGCCGACCUGAGAGGGUGAUCGGCCACACUGGGACUGAGACACGGCCCAGACUCCUACGGGAGGCAGCAGUAGGGAAUCUUCGGCAAUGGACGAAAGUCUGACCGAGCAACGCCGCGUGAGUGAGGAAGGCUUUCGGGUCGUAAAGCUCUGUUGUCAGGGAAGAACAAGUACCGUUCGAACAGGGCGGUACCUUGACGGUACCUGACCAGAAAGCCACGGCUAACUACGUGCCAGCAGCCGCGGUAAUACGUAGGUGGCAAGCGUUGUCCGGAAUUAUUGGGCGUAAAGCGCGCGCAGGCGGUCUCUUAAGUCUGAUGUGAAAGCCCACGGCUCAACCGUGGAGGGUCAUUGGAAACUGGGGGACUUGAGUACUGGAGAGGAGAGUGGAAUUCCACGUGUAGCGGUGAAAUGCGUAGAUAUGUGGAGGAACACCAGUGGCGAAGGCGGCUCUCUGGCCAGUAACUGACGCUGAGGCGCGAAAGCGUGGGGAGCAAACAGGAUUAGAUACCCUGGUAGUCCACGCCGUGAACGAUGAGUGCUAGGUGUUGGGGGGUUCCACCCUCAGUGCUGACGUUAACACAUUAAGCACUCCGCCUGGGGAGUACGACCGCAAGGUUGAAACUCAAAUGAAUUGACGG
rnacentral:rRNA from 1 species